rnacentral:lncRNA from 1 species
CGCACUUCCGGGUUCUGAGGGAACGGGCUUGCGCACAAGCGUGCGUGCGCGUGACCGCCUCCACCGGCGGACUCGUGAGCGCGCCGCUGCCGGGACCGCUCCUGGGCCUUAGAGAAGACGCGGAUAAGGGCCAAGGAAAGAGGGAGGCAGCGGUUGCUGAGCUCCUUCGGCGCUUCGGCUCCUGCAGCUCUGACUAUUCGGACCGUCAAGGUAGAAUAGGAGGCGGCCAGUUCCCCGCUCUAAGAAGUUGCCUGCGCUCUGAGAGACAGGUGCCGCUGUGUUGCCUAGGAUGAUCUCAAACUGCUAAGCUCAAGCAAUCCUCCUGCGUCGACUUUCCAAAGCGCUGGAAUUAUGGGCGUGAGCCACUGUGCCCAGG